UGGAUAAGGCUGUCUUAGGCAGGACACAGAACACACACAGAAAUUCCUGAUCCUGUCCUGGGAGGGAUGCUGCCAGGUGGAGUAUUGCAGAGUAACCUGCCAUGCGUUACCUGGCAAACUUCAUAGAGUAAUUUGUACUGCUCCUCUUGCUUCUGCGCGCUGCACAAGCUGCAUCCCAUGUUUGGAGGAAUGUCAAAGAAAGCCUUCAGGACCGCCAGCGCCUGGGAAGCCGCUCCCUCAGCAUGCAGGCAUUGAAGGGCUCUCUGAGAGCCUCAGAGCCAUCACCACCUACCUCCUUCUUUAGAUAAAAGGUGAACUGUCUGAGAAAGACUCCCACAUCCCCUGUCAAGAGGUGUCAUGGGAGUGCAAGAAUAAUGCGUCCUUUUUCUGGGAGCUGAGACACACCUGAAAAGAGGCUUUAAGCUCCCUGAGGCAGGCUUACCAUCUCCAACCCUGGGAGCCAAGGAAACCCAGGCCAGCUAGCUGGAUGAAUUAGAUAGAAGAUCACCUGGUGGCUCCACAAAGCCAUGAAUGCCAGUGCA